CCCGCAACAAUAAAAUGUCAAUCAGACUGCCUAAAGUUCGACUCGAAUCUGCCAAAAAUGGCUUUUAUUUCCUUGGUGGAAAAACAUAUAAUGAACUGCCUCUAGACAUACGAAAAGCAGAGACUUUGAACGAUUUUAACGCGAGACUGCAAGCUUUUUAAAAUAUUUCUUAAAUAUUUGAAUCAUGCAUGUACGUUUUUAACAGAUUUUUAUAUUCUGUAUAUACCC